rnacentral:misc_RNA from 1 species
GAUGAAGAACGCAGUGAAAUGCGAUAAGUAAUGUGAAUUGCAGAAUUCAGUGAAUCAUCGAAUCUUUGAACGCACAUUGCGCCCGCCAGUAUUCUGGCGGGCAUGCCUGUUCGAGCGUCAUUUCAACCAUCAAGCCCCAGGCUUGUGUUGGGGACCUGCGGCUGCCGCAGGCCCUGAAAACCAGUGGCGGGCUCGCUAGUCACACCGAGCGUAGUAGCAUACACAUCGCUCAGGGCGUGCUGCGGGUUCCGGCCGUUAAACCCCUUUUUUACCCAAGGUUGACCUCGUAUCAGGUAGGAAGACCCGCUGAACUUAAGCAUAUCAAUAAGCGGAGGA